GGGCUCUAUUUUGGUGCUUCGCCGGAGAUCUGCCGCAAGCGCAGCGUCAAUCAGAUCCGCCGCGCUGACAAGGCGUUCCCAAGCACAUUUUGGUAUUUUGGUGAGCCGCGCAGCCCGGUGUAAGUAUCCCCCCUCCCUAACUCAGCUCCUCCCGGCAGCAUAAAUCAUAGAAGGGGAGGCGAGAGGGCGUAUAGGGGUUUAACACAGCCGAGACCUGUUUUCACCAAUCACAUUAGCUCCUCUCCUCGCCUUUAAAUCCGCCACAGGCGAGGCGUAUUACUAUUUUCAUGAAGUAGUCAAAGAGAUCAAGAGAUGUCUGAAGACAGUUAUGCCACACGAUGGCGACAGAGGGCAGCUGCUCAACAAGUGUCCUCCACACUCUCUCAUCUGAGCACAGAUGGAUUUGGUGUGCGUAAUGUUGGACCCACUGGUAAGACAAACACCCUUUUCCACAAAUAAAGACACUCACAUAAAGUUGCAUAUAUUCAAAACUCACGUGACAAAGGUGGGUUGAGCGCACAGAUCACAACAUAAACUCCAAAAAGGCAUUAAAAUCGGAACCAUCUGUGCGUAAAUGACGCAUCGCGCUCCGUGGCCUGGCUCUUUCUUUCAUAGAUGUUGGCAUCUAAAAUAAAUUUGGCUCACAAAACUGAAUAUUAUAAUAUCCGUAUGUCGGCUUAAAGUAGAUAACGCAUCUGAGCACUGAAACAAAUCAUCUGUUCAGCUGCAGCAGCAGCAAGACGGACAGAGGACACGGAGACGUGUCCAGGUCGAGCUGUGCGAGAAAUAAGAGGAAGAGGAAGAAAGAAAAGGAGGGAGACGAAUUACAUAUCUUGUUAACUUCAUCAUGUGUGUUUAUUUACUAGAUAUUUAAUUUAAUUUGAUGCGGUUUCAGCUGUGUUGAUUCGGUCAGGUUGUGUGUCCAAACGCGUGCCAAACGCGCUCAUCAGAUCAGAUAUAGAUCAGAAUAUAUCGAUAUAGAUCUAAAUAUAUGUGCUGACUCAGAUUAAUAGUUGAUGAUGAUUAUUUAUUGCACUGAAAUGUGCCUGACACUGUGGAAACCUGCCGGUGAGGCAUCAGUGACGUAUGUCGAUACGCCACCGGUCUACCAAAAUACUACAAGACCAGCUGCGUUCCGCCUUGCGCUGAAAGCUGACCAGGUUUGAAUCGGCGAGCUUUCAGCGCACUUUACACGCCGGUGGCGAGCACGAAAAUGUCACUGCGCCAGCUGAUUCUGUCGACACCUCCCCCUGCCACACCACCACGCCCAGCUUGGCGGAUCUCGGCUCGCCUCCGUGCGGCUCAUGCCACGAAAAUACCAAAUUGGCCUUACGCUGGGCUCCGCCAGACGAAAAUACAACUGCGCGGGGCUCGCCGCCCUCCGCCGCCUCACCGGCGCGAACGAAAAUAGAGCCCUUAGUCUUCAUCAGUUUCUCCAGCUCGUUGCUUUUGUUGAGUUGACGUUUCCCAUAAUGACUGAUGGAAGAAAGGGUUUAUAUCUCUAUUUCCUAGCCUUCAACUUUGCCUUCACUUUUGCACCAGCACAGCAACUACAAAAAUACCUCCAGAUGUCCGCCGGAAUUGGAUAUUGUUGUCCAGAUAUGCGCCGUCUCAAUGAAAGAAGCUCAUCUCUUGAGUAAACUCUUCUCCCAGCAGAGACAAUUGAAGGGUGCCCUUUGUGCUUGAACUGUUAAUGUUAGGAACUGUUGAUAACACAAUAUUAAUAUAUUUGUAUCCUUUCUGUCUAAACUCUAGCCAUUAACCACAUUUCAAGAUUUAAAGUAAUGUAAAGAUAGCAUUGGCAGGGUUGCCAGGUGUACGAUAAUUAUUGCACUUGUACGAUAAUUUUGCCCCCCAUACGAUGUACAAUCAGUAACCCAGAAAAGGGCUAAAUGUAUGAUAAUUUGACAGUUUUGUAAACGUGUGGCACAAUAGGACAGUCCCAGACACUUUAUUUUUCAGUUUUUAUUUGUCAACCCUGAAGGCAUCUUUUACCACGUAAUGUCUCCGAAUAACAAGCAUGAUUGGCUGUCAAUCAUGCUCAGUUGGUUAGUCAGUUGAGAAAAAUGAGCUGAAGAGGACGGUGAUUACAGGGAGCCAAAUCCUUGUGUGAGGACAAGUUGAUUUUUGUGUCUAGAAUAGAUUUCACUAAGUUGAGUCAGAUUACUCUUUAUUUCCUUGUCAGUUAUUAUGAAUACUGUAUCAAAAAAGGAGGUGACCUUAAGGUCUCAUGAUUUGGCUCAUGAGUUCCCACCUGUCAUUUGUUUAAAGAGGACGCAUUAGAAUAAGAAGAACUUUAUCCCCGAAGGGAAAUUCAAUUGUCUGUUGUCUCACAUAAUAUAUCUCUGAAAGUUAUCUACUAUUUACACAAGAGUUGUACAGUCUGAUGGCUGUUGGUACAAAAGAUCUUCUGAAUCUUUCUGUCCUGCAGCGAAGAGAGAGAGGAGCCGUCCACCACCAUUGGUCCUUUGGUCCAUCAAGGUGUUUUGAAGUGGGUGAUCCAUGUUCUUUAGAAUAGUCUUUAAUAGUCAUUAGUGUAACACAGCUGAGUUGGAGCUGCUGAUUAUACGCUGCAGAUGUGGGACGGGGUGGUGAAUGACCACAAAACUGUAGCCACAAAAUCGUGAGUGCCUGUAGGACAGUAAACAGAGUGACUACAUGUGACUAUCAACAGUAAGAUUGUUGUUCUAAAUAUGACGGGUGUACGAUAAUUUUCCCAAAAAUACAAUCAUUUUGAGUCUCUGAUACUAAAUUCUAUAUUUUCCAUCUGGCAACACUGAGAAUUGGUAAUCUUAUGGGUACCUGCCAUCAGGAAUGGGUAACCCUUCAGCAGAUCGGCUAAAGUCAUGCAUCCGUAAUUCAGAGCUUUUAAGUGAGCUCUUUAUGGUCAAACAACUCCCUCUGAAUGGAGCUAUAACCUUCAUUUGAAUGUUAAAAUAUGUAAAGGGACACUGUGUGUUGUGUCCUUGUUAGGCAGUCUGGGCUGGGAUGAAAUCCCUCAGGUUAAUCUGUUUAAUAGCAACUAUCCUAGCUGUCACAACUAGACUGAGACAGACACUUGCAGGCUCAAAUGACUUUGUUUUGUCCCUGUCUGAGAAAGCCCCACUGAUUGGGAAUGUGUGUGUGUGUGUGUGUGUGUGUGUGUGUGUGUGUGUGUGUGUGUGUGUGUGUGUGUGUGUGUGUGUGUGUGUCUGUCUGUCUUAAAAAUAGAGCCACAUAGACAUUGAUUUGUGUUUGGUGGAACAGAUCAAAAUUGCCCCCUCAUGCUUGUCCCAACUUUUCCAUAGCAGAGUGUGCAUGUGUGUGUCUUCAGCGUGUCUAUGCCUGCAUGUGAGGAUUUUGUGAGUGUGUGUGCCUACACAACAUGGCAGCCUAAUUCUGGGGCCAAACCCUGUCAUUUUGCGCCUGUCACAUUCUGUUAAGUGUGGCUCACACUGCUUCCUUAAUUCCCCACAUUCCCUUGUCGCCUCCAACGUCGAAUCCAGACGCUCAUAAACAGCAUCUCUCAAAAUGGCAUCGGACUCAUUACACUCCACUACACGCAAAGAAAGGAAAAUCCAGCCACCUCUGCCCACACGCAAAUAACAGCAGCGUCUGGUGACGUGCCAAAAGAGAAGCUUAAUUUCCUGUCUUUCUAAUAUUUUGUUUGCAGCUGUGCCAAGCCUUCAGUAUGAGCUAUGUGGAGGACACUUUCAAAAAAUAUUAUCGGUACAUUGAUAUUACUUGUGAUCUAACUGAUACCUAAGGUGAAAAGCUUAUAUUAAAUGUUAACUUGAUACUUGUGACACGACUUGAUACGCUCUGAGAAACACAUAUUAAAAUAGGAGAUAUCAGAAACCAUGUUUACGUAUUUCUUUUCUAGUAUCAGAAGUGAGGCCGUGAGAGGAAGGUGGAGUGUUCAAUGUAUGUGUGUGAGCUCCAGAGUUUGUGCCAUACUCUUACACAUAUGAAAAGAUGCCAAUAUGAGAUCUACAGCUUGUGUUACAGAUCACAAUAUAUUGACAUUGAAAUGGGGCCAAAGAGUUCAUUCUGAUGGGUACCUUACAAAGCAGCCUCUGCUACCAGUGUUUAAAUGUAGCCUGAAUGUGACAUGUAAUGUAAAAGUGCUUUGAGUGGUCAGAAGACAAGAGAAAGCACUAUACAAAUAUAGUUAAAGUAGUAUCAUUGCUUGUGUUAGGUGUUAAUAAAUCAAUACAGACCUGACUUCAAGGCCUCUUUGCUAAUAUUAGGCCCUAUCAUAAAUGCACAAGUUACCAGGAUACACAGUUUGGGAGGCCAACUACAACGAAAAGGAGUUGCAACUUCAACAAAGUCCAGAAAAGUAAUAUAAAAUGACUUAAAUGGAUAUUCCAGCGUAAACUGAAGUUAGGUCACACGCACCGUAACACCAAGUUAGACACCCCGGCGAGAGAUGAGUGUUGCCGACCGCUUGCUUCUCUAGUUAUAUCAACUUCAGUAAUGACUGCACGAUAGCAAUACACAGCUGUUUCAGGAGCCACACGUUUAACCAAAACACCACUCUAUAGCCACAUAUAAUGCUCAGAACAGCACCUAUCUUCAUCAACAGUACAUAUAGGGUCCUAGCCAUCUUUGCUAAAAAGAAAUCAGGCAAAGACAAAAAGAUGUUUGAUGGCUAAUGCUAUGGCUUGGACCCUAUAUGUACUGUUGAUGAAGUUAGGUGCUGUUCUGAGCAUUAUUUGUGGCUAUAGAGUGGCUUUUUGGUUAAGAUGUGUGCAUGGAUCUAUAGACUGCUGUGUAUUGCUAUGGUGCGGUUGUUACUAAAGUUGCUAUGACUAGAGAAGCAAGCGGUCAGCAAUAUUAAUCUCUCAAGGAGGUGUCUAACUCAGUUUUACAGUGUGUUUGACCCUAACUUAAAUUUUACGCCGGAAUAUCCCUUUAAAGUAACACAAUACAUGUGAGCCUCACACCAAGCUCAUAAAGAGAAUUGUCAUUGUGGAUAGAUUUCCCCCAAACCCAUGAAGGGAUUGCCAAAAGCAGCUACAAACCAAGCUGGUCUCAUGCCUGAUUAUUAUGAUCUGUAUUGCAACACUUAGGUGAACUUGAUGAGAGGGAGAUAGACCUUGUAACUAGACUUUUUAUAAGGGUUGUGCUGCUGUGUGAGAAAACAGAGUUUGAUGGUCUGUAAAUCAUUCAAAGCUUAUAUUUAAUUCAAAGACACUGCAAAGAUGAUAAAUCAAAUGCUGAAACUGAAAAAUGUUAUGUUUUAUGAAAAAGUACUUGGCUCAUUUUAAAUUGAUGCCAGCAAAACAUUUCAAGACAGUGAAGACAGAGCAAGAAAAAGCAAAAACAUCUUAUUACUACUCAGGUUCAUUUGCAACACCCUGAUAACAUGUCUGCACAAAAAAAGGACAUUGUGGAGAGACUGAAUUUUUCAGAAGUAAAGAUGUGAAAAAGUCUGCUACUCCGCAAGAGACUGGGUGAAGAAAUAGUUCAGAUAAUCCAAAAUAAUGGUCCUGAGCAUAAAAUUGGGAAGGAAUGUUGACAAUAUCCUGCUUAGGAUGUCACAAAAAUGUUUCUUAUAUUAGCAGUGUAUGAGGAAAUGUAUUAUUCUUAUUCGUAUUCAAUAAACCCCUCAGAUGUACCUUCUUAUUUUCAAGGGGGUUACUCUUUUAAAUUUCCAAAUCACUCUGUAACCAGGAUAGGUGUCCAGCUGCUAUGGAUAGUGCCAGUUUCAUAUUCAAUAACAGGAUUCACUAGAAGUCACACCUAUAAUUGGCAGGACAUCAUUAGGGCUUGGGAUAAGGAGGAUACAGCACUUCAUUUUUAUUACAUUUUUUGAGUUGAUCAAGAAAUCAUACACUUUCAGCAAUAAAUGAUAUCCUUUUCAUUCUCUCCAUAUGUUGUAUAUAUUCCAACUUAGCAAUGGUUACUCCUAGUUUUAGUGUAUAUCGGCUGCAAGAUUUUCUUUUAGAAGGGGGGAUAAACUUAAAAAUCAUGCAGACAUAAACGCAGCCCUGGAUUCUUUUUUUGCUUCAUAAGGUUCCUCCGGAUUAAGACUUUGCAUUAGUCAUUUAUUAUUGCCUAUCUGGGAUAUACGUAAUCCUACUGGAGUCAUGUCUGAUGCCACUCAAGGACCAAGUCUUACAUCUUUUUUUUUUUUUUUCUUUUUGCAGCACUAUGAAAAAAAUAAAACCUCCCCCUUCAAAGGUUAGCCUCUGACUUUGCUAACCUUUGGACUUUGCGUGGUAGCAGACAGUGUCUUGAUUAUAAACAGAUAUCUGGUUGCAGAGAUAGUCAUGGUGCAUUGAAGUUCUUACUGUACAGUGCUGUUGGUUCAACUGCUUUACUUCCAUAUCAGCCUAUACAUGCAGCUCCCAUAGCCUAUUGUUGCGAAAGGUUAAGUCCUAGAGGGUCAAGUGCACCAUCCAGUCAAGCCAAGUACAUUCCUAUCUAUCAUCCGCAUGAGUUUAUCCCCUGUACGUGUUAUCCAAGGAGGCCAGAGUAGAACUGAGGUCAAACCAAGUGUGAAGCAAGGUCAGUUUUAUAUACUAUAAUGACCAAAAACUGUGUACAAGCACAUUUACUUUGGAAAGCUUUUAAAUCUGUACAGCAUACAAGACUCUUUAUCCUCAGAUGUACCCCAUUCUUUGAUCUGAGUCACAAGAAUGAGGUUCAACACCAUGAGGGUCUAAGGCAGAGUCAAUCCAUAAGCAUGAAGGAUUACUUAUAAAGCAGCCCUGCCAUAUGGAAAUGUCACAUGAACCACGGAUAUCUGAUGUUGAGGAGCAUCUGCACAAUUCACCGGUGGAGGCAAGAUGAGAUUGGUGGUAUUAUAUGACAAUGAGUUAAAAUGCCACAGGGCUGAAAAUUCAAAGGUCAGUCCCACCAUAGCCCCUUAAAACAUCUACAUGUACUCCUGCAGCUGGUGGGUGAGUACUUGGAGCGAGGCCACGUGAAGCUGAGUGGCACUGAAGGACUAAGACUUUAAUGAGGAGUGACAGCCUCCUCCAUGAAAGUUUAUCAGCCUCUUCGGCUAAUAUCUCACAAUAAUCUUAAAAGUGUCAACAAGUUGCAGACGAUCAUGCAAGUUAUCGCUGGGGAUGAUUUAGUUACAGCGAUUAUAAUGUUUUGGUGGCUCAAUUGUAAAUUAAAAACUACUGUGUUGUGAUAUUGCUUAAUUCUACGACCAAUCAAUCCUGCACAUGACAGAUAGUCCAACAUUACAUUGUGAGAAACUUUGUGUGUGUGCGUGUGUGUGUGUGUGUGUGUGUGUGUGGGAAAUGAGGUUCAAUCAAGGCCUCCAUUCAUUUUCAUAAGGAAGUGUCAGCCAGUGGCAUCAGACUCGUAAUGGAAGCUAAAUAUUUGGCUGCUGUGACCUUUUUUACAUUUAUAGAGGCACAACAGUAAUUCUCUCUCGGGCGGUGGUUCAUUUCUUGCUUCCUUACUCACAAUGUCACUGUUGUUUUUUGACUAACAACCAUUGGGAAAUGAGGAAAACUCAGUUGUGCUGGCAACUCUUAUGCAAAGCUUGCAAAACAGGCAGUGAUGUCCUCUAUCAACCCUUAUUCACACAUUCACAAAGACAUAGAUGUGCUCUUUCUGUGUGUGAGAAGCAAGUUUCCAAGCUUUUUUCACUGAAGCAGGGUGUAUUUUCAGAACUGAGAGUCUGCAGCCAGUGGGGAACCAAAAGAGAGCAUAAAGUGUUUUGGUCAAAGGAGCUUUGGCUUACUGCUGGGCAAAGAUAUGAGACGAAAUUUAUACUGCACUUAUACACCAGCGCCCCGAGCCAAAGGAAAUGAAGGAUCGGACUGGCCACAGGAGAUCUGGCUGGAAUCAGUCUUGAGGGUUUCUAUCUCACCCCCAGGGAAGUUGGACAACGAUUACUUUAAGCACUGCCAUUGCUUUCCAACAGGAAGAAUGUACCAGAAGAUGUUAAGUUGUACUAACGGCAGGCAGUGCUCAGCAGUCAAUGUAGCCUGAAUGAUCCUACAGCUGAUCGCACCAUAUUCUUUCUAAAUCCAUCUUGAAGUUUCUGUUUGAAUAAGACUGUUUCACAAAUAGCUUUAGCAUGUUUUUCAGGCAAGAAACUGAGCUCAAUGUCAGAAAGAUGGUAAUUCUUUUGUAAAUUUAACUGUUAGGUACGUUUGAACCAGGACAAAACCAUGACGGUUAUAUGUGCAUUCAUAAAUGGGCACUUUAAUACAGUCCUUUUGAGGUUACAGGUCUUGGUGGAAGUUUAGUUUCAAGAUAUUCCACCCAAAGGGAUUCGGCUUGCCAGAUGGAAAAUAUAGAAUUAUCACACCAGAGGCUCAAAAGUAUAGUCUUUUUGGGAAAAUGAUCAUACACCCAUUGUACUCGAAAAAACAAUCAUACUGUUGCAUGACAGUCACAUAUAGUCACUCUGUUUAGUGUUCGACAGGCACUCAUGAUUUUGAGGCUACAGUUUUGUGGUCAUUCACCUCCUCGCCCCACAUCACAACGUAUGAUCAGCAGCUCCAGCUCAGCUGUGUUACACUAAUGCGUCCUCUUUAAACAAAGGUAGGAACUAAUGAGCCAAAUUAUGAGACCUUGAGGCCACCUACUUUUUUGAUACAGUAUUCAUAAUAACUGACAAGGAAAUAAAGCGUAAUUUAAGUAACUUAGUGAAAUCUGUUUUAAACACAAAAAUCAACUUGUCCUCCCACGAGGAUUCGGCUCCCGGUAAUCACCGUCCUCUUCAGUAACGCUCAUUUUUCUCAACUAACCGACUGAGCAUGAUUGACAGCAUAUCAUGCUUGUUGGUCAGAGACAAACGUCACUCUAAACUACAACUGGAUGGAAACAUCACAUGGUAAAAGUUGCCUUUAGGGUCCAAAAAUAAAAGACUGAAAAAUGUGUCUGGCAGACUGAGACAGUCCUAUUGCACCACAAGUUUACGAAACUGUCAAAUUAUCCUACAUUUAGCUCUUUUUCUGGGUUAUUGAUCGUACAUUGUACAGAGGGCAAAAUUAUCAUACAAAUACGAUAAUUAUCGUUCACCUGGCAACUGUUUUUCCCAGUGAGAUGAUUUUAGGACUCUGCAUUUUUGUCUUUUUAGCCAUUCAUGCUGAAAACCAGUUUACAACAGGAUUACAGUUUGUAUUAGUAUUCAAAGCAGCAAACCAGAUAAGUUUGGAUGUUUUUGUUUGUAUGUGGAUAAAAGGUUAACAGCUCAGAAGAUUGAUGUAGCUGUGGUUAUUUUGAAGAGUUUAGUAUGCAGAAUACACAUGGUGAGCUGCGUAAGUGUUCAAUUUGUAUGAAGAGGCAAUGAGUUGUUGGACACCAGUAGGUCAGUCCAAUAGUUGUGUUGCAAACAGUUGUCUGAUGACAUGGGAUGGAGCUCGUAUUGGUGAUGACAUUGAUCUUAAACAGGUUGGACACCAUAAAAGCAGAACAAUGAGCAAAGAGAAAUUGUCAUUGUGGGGUUAUCAUUCUCUUUGGGCUCAUCACUAUGAAUAACCCUUUUGAAAUAUGAAUCAAUCCAUUGUUAUUAUGAAAAUAUCUAUCAUAGGAAUAGUUAUCACUUUAAUUGAAAUGGCAAAAACAAUCUGGAUGAGAAUGAAAUAAAAGACAGAAGACAGAUCUCAGUGUUAGGUGUCUCAGGGAAAGGAGAGUGUUGUGACAGCUGAACAAAUAAAUAUAAGUUCCUAUACAUUUGAAGCUGUUUAAAAGUACAUAAGCUGAUAAAGGAAGCGUCCUUUGUGAAUAGAGUGAGAGAGAUUUUCCAUUCACUGCCACAAAUGCUGGAGGACACAAACUCCUUCACAGGGCCUGUGUGUUAUGAUAGUGAUACAUGAACCAAUGCCAGGAUGGAGGAUAAACUAAAAAUAUGUUUGUGGUUUGUUAGUCUUAUGAUGACACACGGCUGUAAACAUCAACAAAUGCUUUGAGGAUUUGGAGGUAAUCAUAUCAGUAUUCUUGAUAAAGAUGCAUGACAUCUUCUGAUGCUCCCCCGAGCCACAAGAGGAACACAAAGUACACAUAAAGUUCUCACUGAUCUUUAAUCAAUUUCUCCCGCAAUAAGCUGCAGGAACAGGUGGAGGAGGGUGUUGCAUUAAAAUUCUGUUUCAUUUCACUUCAAAAGAGGCUUUUAAUGUCUGACAUAUAUCCCCUGAAAAUGGACCUGUCUGAAUUAUCCCUGUAUUGGAAGUUCCUGCUGUCGACUGAAUACUGAGUAGUUACCUUGCCUGAAGUUAGCCUUUGUUUUACUAAGUCUUAUGCAAGUAAAACAAAGGUUAACUUUUAAUCUAUCUGCCUUUAAGGACCUUCAAUAAAAUACUGAGAACCCAUAAUAUGAGUGCACCAGUAUAUACAGUAAAGAUGCAGUUCUUGCUCUUUUGAGGGUCUCUCAGAGGGGAAAAGGUUUAAUCUGUCAUCCUGCAUGACAACUUCCACUGUGUUCAGCCAAGUCCACAAAGCAAAAUUUUGUGUAACUGUGCAGUCGGCUCUCACAAGGCCUAUGUGGUUGGAAUCCUGCUGGCUGUCGGUGUAGUGGUUGAGCUCAGUCUACAGUACUGUUGACAAUUGUGAAGUACAGAAGUUGCUGUACUCCACUCUUCUGGUAACCUAUUGUCUUUAAGAGAGGAGUCUCUCCUAUCAAACCAUCAGUCCACCAGCUUUGCUACUCAACAGACCCAUUUACAGCUUAGGUCACCAAAAAUAAGUGCAUUGAACACGAAAUGAAAACAGUGCCCAACAUCAAGAUAUCUGGUUGUUGUGUGAACACUUGGAUCCUGGGCUCCAUUCUUCAAAGUUCUGACACAACCAAAGUGACAGGUGUUUCAGUUUAAAGCGCGGCUGUGUGAGCUGGUAACCUUCCACAGUGGUUGUUAUGACUGCUUUUGAAUCACAGAGUCCCCACAUAUACUACCUGUAGGAAUUUUAUAUAUUUUAAUGUCAGAUUAUAAACAUCUGAUAUGUUUUAAAAGAAAAAACUGAAGGCGAUUGCAAGUUGUUAUCAAGCACCAGUACUGAGUUAAUUUUAAGGCCAAGACAAUUAUGGCUCAAUAUGGAGAGAUCAGCCCAGAGGCAGAAUUCACGUUCACAUUACAACAAAUAACUUGUGCUAUCUACCAUGACAAAAACACACAAUGAUUAUUUCCAUGAGGUGCAGUUCUGGUGGGACGUGGUCUGAUCCCAGGUCUGACUGUUUCUAUUGACACAACACUGGGUACAGCCAGUGAGGGUGGACAGGGUCAAGUGUCUCGACUAAGUAUACAUCGGCGUGUGAACAAUUGUUUUGGGUUGACACUCCAGCAGUAACUGCUUGUCAAUGUCAUAUUGGUCUAUAGGUAAAAUGUACUGUACAUAUGAUAACAUACCUCAAAGAAAGUGACACAAAGCAACUUAAUAACUGCUAGGCCUCUGUUUUUUUCUCUCCCUAUGCUAAGAUCUGAAUAUCACCAAAUUUUAUUCAGUGCACUGAUAAACCAAGAAAUACUUUUGACUUUUUGUAGUCCUGGUACAUUCCAGCCCUCUUUCAAGGCUAAAAAAUAAUAAGUUAGCUCCAAGUAAUCUGUGCGACACAACAUAACUUUUAAUGAAAAUACUAAAUCAAUGAAAAUUGUUUUUAAAUAUGAUUUUGGACUAAUGAUGUGUUUCACAUUUUCUUGUUUUGGGUUUAAGAGACUAGAUAUAAAAUAUGGAUGAGUAAGUUUAGUUUUUAAACUGCCCUGAUUGCUGCAACAGUAAAAAGCACCAUCCCUCUCUGGUUCUAUAUAAGUGUAUUUUGAUUUAAUUUAGUGGCAUUACAUUUUAGCUUAGCCUUGCAACUCACAUUUGAAUGGUUUUUAACGUAUAUAGCAGCAGCAAAACGUUGUUUUUGUUUGGCAUUCAUUUCAUUUUACAUGCAGUAAAUUGAGGAGUGAUGAGAUAGCAUAUUAACCUCCAGUAAAAGCCUGCAGAUGGAUGCUGGGGUAGUGGAGGUGGGGCUGGGAGCCUUAAGCUGAGCAGCAGUGGCAGUGACAGUGCAGCUGCUGAAAAUAUUGUUGUCUUAAAGGGAAAGUGAAAUCAUGAUGAAACUGUGUGAAAAUCAGGUGUGAAAUCAACAGCUGGAGUUGCCUGCCUGAACUAGCUCACAGGCAUUGCUUUGCUUUAAAAAGAAAGACUUUUAUCACUGACUGGAAUUGUGUGAAACCAUCUAUUACAUAUAAUAAUAAAAAAAUGAUAAAUAUAUAUAUUUUUUAAUUUUCAAAAAGUAUGUUUUGUGGUAAAUUAUGUAUAUUUGUCACAUUUUGUCCCUCAAAAACAUUUAAAAAGGGUAAAAAGGUUAAUUUUUUAAAUUAGUUUUCAUCAUUCAGUAAAUGCUUUUUAUUAAGUAGUCGAUGAGUGUGCUAAUGUUUGCAGAAAAAGUAAAUCAAAUGCGUGCCAGAGCACAUUAUAAAAACAAUUUCACUUAGCAGUGCAUCAAUAAGCUGAUUAAUGAGGAGUGCUUAUUGUUGAGUGUAAAGCAUAUCUAUAUGUGUAGAGAGAGAUUGUUUUUUUUUUGCUUUUUUCAUGGGAAACAAAAAAAAUGCCUGCUUCUUAAUCCCACCAGAUUGCUUUAAAGGUUGCCUUCAAUUGAUUCCAGCAGCACUAGCAACAGGAAUUAAUCCUGCAUAAAUCAUACACUAACCUUGAACGUGGCUCAAGCCAAACUUUCCAUCUCUAUUAAAUCUAUGAAUUAUAAUUAACAUUGCUGGCAAGUCCAGUGUUACUUGCUGUGGCCAUAUGCUGCUCGCUCUUAGCUUCACAACAGCUGAAUCAGUUGUCGUCUCUUUUAACCAGAAAACACAAUAUGACAGCGUUUGGCAGAGCCUGUUUCCUCCUCUUAUUGCUACCGUUGCUGCCAAAAGCUUAUUACUUUUUGAUGAAUUGGAGCAGCGUGCCAUUAGGGGGCAGUGUUGCUCUUCUGCAGUUCUCACACAGGUUUCUUGGCCUCUUCUAAGGCUCAGCAUUGAUUCAUUAGUUUAUAAAAUGUUGUGUAGACUUUGGUGUAUUGGCUUUGGUCCGCUUUGGCUCUCCACCUCUGCUCGCAGACAGAUUAACAGAUAAAUGGAUCACCACAGAGUAUUCUCCUUUUUGGUGAAAUCAAUAUACUGACCAGCAGCUCCAGAAAACAGACUAGAUCUCUCUUUGUCCUCGUUUCCAACUCACUCCAAAAGUACUCAAACUUUCACCUUGGAAUGAAUUAUUCCAAGAAAGAAAAUAUUUUAAUUGACUUAGAGCACACGAAAAGGUUAUUAUUCAUCAUUCAUCAGAGCUUCUUCAAUAAAUGUUCACUUAAUUGUGAAAAAUAACAGUGUCUUAAAAAUAUUCAAACAUGGAGCAUGAUGGAAAAUCUCUCAAGCUUUGCUGGAUUUCCAUUGCUUGUUAAGUAUAUUGUUAAUUUCAAUGAAAAUUAAUUUCUUUUCAUUUCAAUUUUGUAAGGUCAACUAACUUUGAAUAGCUUAGAGAGAGUUUACUAUUAUCAUUAAAUGUGUCCUGAUUGGGACUGGCCUCGACUGAGCAGUUUGUGUGCUCGAAAUAAAACGAGAAACUGUGGGUGCAAUCCUUUAGGGACAAUGAUAAGGAGAAUCCUCUCUUUUUUAAUGAAUCAAUUGUGUUUCCAGCAAAAGAAAUUAAUUUAAUACCUAAAUAUCGCUUAUUGAAAAGACAAAGGAGUUUAAGGCUCUGCAAUCAGCUCAGAUAGUAUGGCACUUAAUUUGUGUUAAAUGAAAUAUUAAAUGAAACAUCAUUAAUUAGUGAGAACAAUAGAAGUGGUUGUUAAAAGGAUAGAGUGAAGGGUAAAGUCAUAUGCGUGGAUCAAAGCUGUUGAGCUGAAUGAAACUUUAUGAUCAAACACUUAAAAUGAACAGCUUCAUCAAUAAUGGAUAAAAAGUGCAAUCAUUCCUAUCCAAGUACACGCAUGCAGGUGUCAGGGAGACAUGAAGACAUUCGUGUUAAUAAGGCAACAGACGUUAAUCAGCCUGUGAAUCAAGUGGUUUCAUUCAUGUCGACUUGUAAAGGCUGUAUAAAUAAUUUCUCGGUGAUUUUAUUUGAUGUUAGCAUCCCUGCUGUUUGUCAAAGUUCUGUUUUGUAAAUGUGUUUCUUUCCUUUUCUGUCAGAAAAAAAGGAGGUAUGAAGAUGUUGAGAUUCUGAGGGUAACAUGGACUGCUGAGCUUAUCCUUUCUCUCUAAGGAGAAGAAAUAUUAUGACAGAUACUGUUUUCCUUCUCCCUCCGACGACAUGUUGUGCAUUUUUAUGUUUAAAACCCUCCUCAAGUGAAACAGCACGACUGGAUAUUCGACAAAUCCGUUUAAAUCUUGUUCCUCGGCUGGAUUGUUGAAUAAUUGCUGAAGCACCGUUUGUAUUAGCAAGGCAGAGAGGCCUCUUAAACCUCGGCCCUGACUUUUAGACGGACUCUUAAGACAGUCACGCCAUGAAGGUCAUCGAUUAUUCAACACUCGGCACCCUGACCAAGCAACACAAAAGUGUCCCUGAGAAAGAAAGCCUUUGUUUAACAUAUUUAAUACCAGCCGUCUGAUCACACACAUUCUCUUUGAAACCAUGGAAAAUGGUAAUUAAUUUUUCAUGGUGAGAAUUAGUAUCCUAAUUUGGAAAUGUGAGAUCAAAAGAAAUAUUUUCAAAAGCUGGCUAGCAGAAGAAAUCCUUCGUGGCCGGUGACAAGAGGCUGUGGUGUUCAAGAUGUCCCUGGUGGCUGCAUCAUAGCAGAAUGCAAAGAUGGAUUUACUGUUUUUUUUCCUCCUUCUUAUGCUGAAUCACAUUAAUACAGUGUGUACCCAUUAAACCAUGGCAACAUUUAUAGGAGGAAUGAGUCAUGCUGAUUUUUUCAUUUUUAUUUAUUAGUGGAACAGCCUGCCUUCUAAAAUACAUAGUCCCCCCAAAUUCUGCCUUCCUCUGCUGGUCCUUGCACACCCCAUUAGGUUGUACAGUGCGUGUUUGACAAGAAGCUAAAUGAGCAGUGCACACAUUCAGUACAUUGCAAUAGGAGCAAUUGCAUUAGGUCGGGAUCAGUUCUGCAGGCUGGAUGAAAGGUCGCAGAGGUUGUGAAUCACAGAGGAAUCCUAAUCAGGCCUUGUUGCAACUCUAAUUAAUUACAGCCCAGAGGGCAAGAGAUCAUACAGAGUCCUACAAGCUAACACACAUGCAAACACUGACUCACACGCACAAAACAGAAAUGUAUCCAUGGAUUGUCUUACCCUGGUGCACACGUCAAUCUAUCAUGUUGAAUGCUGUCCAAGAGUUAGCUGAUGAUUUGUAACUUAAUCUCAUGUUCUACCUCUUUCCUUUUAGCCUGUUGCCCGCGUUUGACAUGUCCUAUUUUCAGAUGAUAACUUGACAGUCUCCCUGCCUGGACUUGUUGCAUCCCGCUGUUUUAUGUGCCAGACAGCUGGGGUGAAAACACCAUGAGAGUCACAGUUUCCUGAGGAUAAACAAUCUAUAAAGAAAAAAUCACUGUAUGUAUUUUCUGGGAUCUGUAUCAGUUUUUAAGAACUGACACAGAUGCUGAACAUGUAGAUAUAUUUUUCCCAUGUCACAUUUACUAAUAAGAAAAACAGCACACAACAGAAAGUAUUCAACAGCAGCUCUUGUAAGAAAAGAUGGGCUUUUUGGUAAAUUAGAUUAUCACGCUUCCUUGCUGUGAGUAGGAGGGAGCUUGUUGGCUUGGCCCGGGCGAAAAAGUCAGCAAGGGUCCGUCCAAGGAUGCAGUAGCAUCUUUUUACCAGCAAUCCUUAAACUCUCCAACAUGUUGUCUCUUGAUUUUAACCAAGCUGUACAAAGACAACAAGAAGUGUUAGUUUUUGUAGUAGACCUUCUUUUCCUGAGGGACUGUGACCACAUGCCAUGUCUUUGGCAUCACAAUGUGUCAGCGACAAGGAUGAGUUUCAUGGAUUUCAUGGAAAGAACUUGACAAAACAUCUGGGAUGAAGACAGUAAGCCUACUUUCAUAAACUUAACACAGUUGCUCCAUCAGUGGGGGUUUAUUUUAAAGAACCUGUUUCCCCAACUCUUAAGCUUGAUGUGAAUCCUUAUUUACAGCACAAGUACAGAACGUUUGUUCAAUAAGAUAGCGUAAUGUCUGUGAGAUAGAGAGUAAGUCAACUUCCAUAAAGCCUGGCACACACUCAGAUACUUUAAAAAUCUUAAACCAGACAUUGAAAAUGUCAGGGACCCUACACAUGACAUCAAAUGAUGACGAACUGACCAAUUUCGUUCCUAUAGUGGUGUGCCACAUGUGGUGAACACAGCAUUAAAGCACUUAAAGACUCUUUUCACCUGCCAGUUACAACUUAGGUUAUAAAAAAAAACCCAUGGAGAACUACAGGAGCUAAACGUUGUCAAGACUUCUCUUGACAUUUCAGUCCUGGUAUGUUUUUUUGAACACGUGCAAACUCUCAUGUUUAUGCCAUGUGAAUAUUUCUGAUGUCCCUCUCAGUUUAUACUUUGUGUUGUCUGUUGUUCCCAUGUCAUGCUUUUUCAGGUAGCCUACUUCCCCAUUGGCUAUUGUUACAUCCCUGCAUGUUCAGCCAUCUUUAAAAAUCCCCUCACACAUUAAGGUUUCAGAUCAUAACUUUUGAACAUGUUAAAUAUUUACAGUUUCAAGUCAAGGAUGCUUACUGUGGAUGAAAAUUUACUUUUAACACACCUCACAACAUAGGAUAAUCAGGUAAGAUAAUCUUUAGAGCCAUCUGUUAGUAAGGCUUUGCUGACUUUUGCCAGAAGGGGGGAAAUGGGUCAAAAAAUUCAACAUGACUAACUUGUAGCACAUACAGCACUUUCAUAUCGCCUUGUUGCCUGGCCAGUGGGAGUUUAGUUGACUUGACUUUCUCCUCACAGCUAAGUCUGUUGGGAAUUGGCAGGAAUCAGAGGGUCAUCAGUUCAGGUCCUGGCAAUGACCACAUGGAAACUGUGCUGGCAGCUAAAAAAAGUGCCAGUUUACUUUGUGGAGACUGCCAAUGUGCCCUUCAGCAGGGCACUGAAACCAACUGCUUAGGGUGCCGACCCAUGGGAAGCCCCCUGCCCCCCUUUUUGGCCUAUUUGCAUAUUAAAGAGCAGUGCUAAAAUUCAAUUUCAAGGGAUUAAUACAGUAUGUAUUUGUCUUGUUAGUAAGAGGACUAAACAAAAUUGAAAAAAAAAACAAACAUCUGGGAAUAUGUCUACUUCCAUAAAAGCCAUGUUGUUUCUGUAACAGUGGGGUUUUAUCUUACAUAUCUUAUUCAUGAUACAAUCAUAAACACAUGGGGUAGUAUAUGUUUUCUAGUGCCUGAUAAUUUAUGUAGUAUGAUGGUACAUAACCACGUGACAACGGUCUCUAUUGAAUUCAUAUAUGGAUAUGUUGAAUACUGCAUUUGUGUUUGUGGCAGCAGCAUUAAAAAGGCCGGUGUGUAGGAGCUUUGAUUAACAGAGGUGAGGCCAGCCGGAAGUUUCCGGGGCAGCUCUGUGUGCAGCAGUGAGAGGAGCAAAGGCCAGCCAAAGCAGGAAAUCACAGGGUGUAUGAGGUCGUGUGUGAAGGAGUGUGCGUGCAUGCAUAAUGAUGAUAUUUUUUUUGUAAAUUUGACAGUGAUGAACUAAAUUUUGCUGACUUGCAGAUUCUGGCAGUCAUGUCCAGAUGAUCAUUUGCUGUAAAAUCGUGAUCUUUGACAGGACUAAGAUCAAAACAGGCCGAUCAAAAAAAUUAAGGUGAUGAAUCACUAACAAAAAAAAAAAAAAAAAAAAAAAGAUGGUCCACAUGAAUAUGUUAACCUUGACUUUAACAUUUUUGCUAAUGUGCUGAGUAGGGGGAAAAACACUGACUUAACUUCGAUAAUGCCAAGUUCUCAAACUCAUACUGAUGCAGAGUACAUAUUUUCCUAAUCGAUUUGGGAGCAAAUCCUCCUCUGAAGGCAAACAGGACUUUAGUAUUCAUGGGGGCAUGCGUGCCUCUCACUAUGUUAAUAAUGCUGUCUUCAGAAAGGCUCAGGCUAUAAUGAGGAUUCACAAAUUCAAAUCACAGUCGGCUACAUAUGUCAAUGCCAUCAAUAUAGCAGAGCUCAGGCUUUACAGUUUCCGCUCGGUUUCUGACACAAGUCGACUUCUUGACCCCUCCCACCCCAACAAGGAAGCUGUAGGGAAGUUAUCGUGACUCCCAUCAGAUAAUGACAAGAUGAUGGCUGGCCUCUGGCCCUGGCUUCAUGGUUUACAGGAGAGCUGUUGGCAAGCAAAGGGCAUUAAAGGAAAAAAUAGAGAGGAAAAUGGAGAGGUCUAAGCACUGCUGCUAUUUACUACUUGUCAACAUGAGUAUCACAGCGUAUGUGAUGCAAGCAGAAGCCGGAGGAAUACAAUUUGCUCCACUUUACUAAAAUAGGCUUGCGGUCUUUAUUUUUACAUGCCCUCUCCAGUUACUAUGUAUAGGUUUUAACUGUUUUCUUAAAAUGAGACUCCAUCUCUGCUUUAACUAUGUUUCAUAAAUCUUUAAUAGGAUGGGUACAUGAGAGUCAAUCUAAUUUAGCCUCGCUCCCGCUCUCUGUGUAUUGAACAGUAAGUGUUUAUGUAAAUGAGAGCUGGCUAGCAACUCUCCCUCUGGUCUGGUCUCAAAGGAUGUUAUUUAUUCACAUGGAAAAGAGGCAGUUUAAGAGGGAAUUGUUUUUACAUCAAGUCCACACUUGCAUGGAUUGUGAUUUUUGAAUUUAAAAUGUUAGCAUGUUAGCCUAAUGAGCUACUUGGUAGCUUUAGCUCAUUUCCUCAUACUCUAUAUCAUCAUUAGAUAAAAGACUGCAGAGUUGCCAUGUUAAGCUCCAAUAUCCCUUUGACUCUCUUUAAGCUUCCCAGGCUACUCCUCUGUUUAAGACUUUCACUCCUAAAUAGUUACUUUGAAGAAUGAACUUCAGGUCAUUAUUGCCAAAGUACUUGAUUAAUUAAGUCGUUAGAAGAGAAAGCGCAGAGCAAUGGUUUGCUGCCUUUUGGUCAACACUUGUUUGCUUCUGUUUAUUAAAAAGGAUCCUUUGGGUGCGGAGACCUCUUAAAUGGGGUUAGAGCUUGUUGAAAGCAGCAUUUCACAGUGAAUAAUUGGAUUGCAGCUUUGAGAACGCAUGUGUUUAAAUGCUGGGAUCGAACAGCGCCUGGGGUGUGUUUACCUGAGUAGGCUCCCUUACUCCCACCCUCCUAUGUCUGCCUCCUAUCGUCAAACUCUGCUCUCCUCUGUUCAAAUCAGUCUGAUAAAGGAUAUCCUCUGCAGUCCCAUCACCAUGGUGACUAAUCAGGUAGUCUGCAUGUAUGCACACUCAUGGUCUGCUGUGUGGAGAUGAUGGCAGGGGUGUGUCUAGAUCUUUUUUUUUUUUUUUACAUAGGUGGCCGUAACUGGAGCAACAUGUGUUUCCUGCUCUGGGCGUGUUAACACAUUCUCAUGUCAAUGUAGUAUUUGUAUUUUAUCCACUUAUACUACUUAUAUUAGCGCGGUUUUUGGAAUUCAAAAUAACACAUUAUUGUAGCACAACCCUUGAACAUUUAAUUCUCUGAAUGAAUUUGUAAAAUUCACGGUAAAAAGCACCUAAAAAAGAUAAAUAAACUUUCAGAAAAGCUGAGGUCAGCGGGUCAGAAUCAAUCAACUACAAACAAGAUGGAAGAAUUGUUUCCACUAACUCCCUUUGUACAAAAGUAACACUAAUACUCCAUGUCAUAGGUGUUGAUGUUACAUUUUUCUAAUCAUAAAAUGAUCAAUUAACUCUUCACCCAUUUUACAGAAAUAGAUAUGACACAAAAUAUGUUUAAUUAAAACAAAAUGUAAGGGUUUGGUCCAUGUUGUCUUUAUUUAUAAACAUAAAUGAGCUGUGACCUACACUGAAGCAGGUCAGCAAGGUGUGCUAGAAAUGUUCGCUUCACUUUUAGGGAGCUGUUGUGUCAUCCAUCUUUUAAACUUACUGAAAUUAUUGAAGUUCCCUUAGGGGAUUAAUAAAGUUCUUCAUCUUCUUCUUAUUAUUAUUCUUAUUUUUAUUCUCUAGCUGUGUCCCAUUCCAGGUCCUGUAUCCUUCCAUGGACUUGGCUGUUGUUGCCUGUGUAGACCAGUCAGAUCAAACUGAAUUGAGAUAGUACCCUUGAGAGAAUUGCGUGUUUACAUCACUACUCCAAUAGCAUCACCUAGUGACGCGCUUGCCAUGUAGCUACAGGUGGAUACCUGGUUAACAUUUGCACAGCUCACUACUGAGUUCAAAUCAAAUACUAUUAUUUUAUAUUAGAAAUAUUAUCUAUUACUAAGCAUUGUGAGAGUUGGCUAUCUUGAUUACAUGAAAAGAAUCAUGGGAUAGAAGGGGCCGCAAAGGAUGCACCUGAUGCAGCCUUCAUGGCCAGGAAAAAGUGGGACACAUUUGGGGGAGCCUUUGAAAUGGGACAGCUUUGAUGCUUUCGAUACAAAGACGGGUGCUGUGAUGCGUCUUCAAAUGCGGCCUUCGAUGGCUGCAGCUCCUGGAUUGGACCACAGCUAAUAGAAGUUUUGCACAUACUGGUUUCUCAUCUUUCAUGAGUUGAGAUCACGUGACAACACUUUGAAUCAACAUGGAAGUGUUCAGAGAAAGAAACAAGGGUCACUUUAGACAUUUUACAAGGAUUAUUCACGGGAUAUUGGCUUGACUGGCGAUCACAGUCAAACAAUGAACAAAAGCUGGAAAAGUUUAGGAUUCAUCACAAAAAAAUGGUGGAAGAAACUUAUAAAUUUGCUCUUAAAAAAACGGUACAACAAGCAGGGCCUAUCCUGCAUAAUAUAUUCUCCAGUGGUGAAAUGAACAAGUUUUUGUAGGUAUGGCCUCUGGCUUACUGUUAAUGGAGUUGAUGUUGAGUUAUUGCUACAGGGGCCUAAAGACAACUGCUCAGGUACGUUGUGACAUUUGUUGUGCCUACCUAAGGACCCCUCAAGCAUACAAGCACCAGAUUGAGAUAGAUCCCUUGUAAACAGAUGACACAUAAUUGUAAAUCAGAAAGAUUUAAUGGGAACAGUGAAAAGUGGUCAUGAUUAUUCAGGAUUUUGGGAUGGCAACUGCAAGGUCAAACAGAUUUCAAGGGGGACUUAUGCCGCUGAAGAUCGCACCCUCAAAAGAGUUCCUGGAUAAUGGUGGGCUGCUAAUCCUUCAGCAGAGAGGGACAAACUUACCGAUAGAUAAAGGUACAAGCUGCAGACAUAAAGAGUAUCCACACUAACACACAGAUUAUAAAUGUACCCAUAGAUUACAUUCACAUUCAACUACUCUCAAAAGCAUGUAAACCAUGUCGGUGAGAGUUAGAAAACUCUCAAGACGUGGAGUACAGUGCUAACAAGCAGAAGUGAGUGGCUUUGACAAAUUGCUCUGUGCUGAUGAAUUGGUGUGUGCGUACUUUGGCUAACAACACUUGGAGUAAUGAGCAGGUUGCCCCUAAAGUAACCUCGACGUGCUGAGUUACAGUGAUAGAUGGGUUUUUCGAUGGUUUACACCUUCGCUUAUGUGUGUGAGCGUGUAUCUGCAAUUUUCGAAGUCAUGCAGGACUAAAGGACUUUAUAUCGAGAUACAUGAUCAGAAUCCUAUCCAGGUUGCCACAAAUGUCCCAGGAUUUGAUGUGAUCACAGCAGCGCCAGACUAUUUGUGUGCCUAUAAAGGCAGAGUGGAGCAGAAGAGCCUGUUCAAUAGCUUUUACUGUUCAGGGGAUGUUGCAGAGAGACCAGUUGCUCAUCUGCAAAUGGUGCACGAGAUGCCGGGCCAGAAACAUUAGUCAAUGGUGUUGCUGAUUUCAGACUUGUUGUUAUUUACUCUGAGCAGGAAAUGUUACCUCUCAAGCUGUUUGUGGCACUAGAAAGCCUCUGAUUUUGUAACCUCCUGGUGGUACUUGGGUGUAUCUAAAACAACUGUUACUGAAAUAAACAUACAGACAUUGCUGCCUCUAAAGCAUACCUAACAUGAUCUCCUCUCUACAGUGUCCAAAUCUUCAUGGGGAGAAUACUUUAUAGCAACUUCUAUAUGCAGCUGCAUAGUCUUUAAGUGCACCAUCUUGUCCUUGUAUGUAUUUCUUUAUCAAAACAUUGCAUGGACGCGAUUCUCGGUAAUGUUGGAUCACUCUGUUGGCUUCAACUACACUUACUCCAUUUUAGCUCCCAAGUGAGAGAAGCCUUGUUCUGUGAAUAAGCUCGAGCAUCAUUGUGCCCUCAUUUAGCCUUCCCUGGUGCUGAAUGACGGCUGUUACGAGCACAGGUUCUCACAACCUUGACAGCUGCGGCAAUCAGCUUAAAUCACACACUUUUAUGACCCAGCUUUCUACCCUGAUACACUACACUGAAUGAGAUGUUUUAUAAUUGGAGAAGCGCAGCGCUGUUGGUGGCUUUAGAUUUACAGUUGAUGGAGUUAUUAAAACACUAGUCAGCGGUGCCUUUAAUGCCCGUGGCUGUUUGUGUGGUGUGAUGCUGCUAUUACAGCGUGAAAUGAAAGACUAAACACUCUGAUUCAUGGAGUUGGCACUGUGAUGGUCACAUCUCUCCUUGACCGGCUGGUUUAUUUGGGCAAUAAAAAUUUACCUUGAGUGUAAAAAGUCAGAGGAUUUCAUAUUUGGAAAGUUACCUUGAAACAUAAAACAGGCUGGUUAUUUCUGAGAGGCAAAAUAUUUAGAGACACAGAGUGAAACCAAGCUAAGAGAGGAAGUUUGUGAUUUGAUGAAAGACUUAGAUUCAUAUGAAGAACAGGUAAACUUUUACACUAUCAUACAAGGGGGCAUUUUUCCCUUGCUAGUGUGCGGCAUUUGGACAUUCUUUUUAAUAAGGUCCUGAACUUCAUCAAGACACACAGUGUGGUGCCAUUAUCUGCACCCAGAGAGCCACGCAGGGCUCCAGUAGCUGAUGGGAUUAAGGAACAAAGAGAGUCAUGGGAUUAGUCUGGAAUGGGCGAUGUGCCAGAGUCUGAAAGGCAACCAUUUUGUUUACCUUUGUCUUUAUUCUUUUAUUCCAUUUCCUUGAUGUUGUGUUGUGACUCCCUGUCGGGGGGCGGUGGAGAGUGAUAUCUUGUUUGGCUCCUGACAGCACCACUUGGAGAGGAAAAUGAAAAGAGAUGGUGAUAACACCGAGGCUCACGCAUUCACACACACCUCCUGCCGGCCUGUCCACCCCACGCUGUUCAUAGGGCAAUUCAGGCCCGGCAAUUUAGGGCCGAGUUAAAGUGGAGGGAAAAAACUAAAAAUAGUGAGGCAAGGCAGGAGAGAGAGGGGGAGAGGAGAAGGAGAAAGAGACCUGGGGAGUGAUUGGUGGAAUGGUGAGCGACAGAUGUAAUUUUCAGACAACGGCAGGGAAGUGAUGUAAUUUUCUGGGUGCAAUUUGUGUGUGUGAGUGUGUUUGUGUGCAGGUGUGCAUUUGUCUAUGGAGUGUGUGACAAUGCAGAUGCUAAAGUAGCACUUGGAUGGAGGACUCGACAACUGAGGGAAACAAAACAUCUCAUUUUGGCACUUCUUUUUUUCUGGGAGGAAAAAAUUGAUGUACGUUUUUAUUUUUUUUUUCUUGAUAUAAUGGCCACCUUCAAAAUAAGGGGAAGUUUUCAUCCUCUGUGUAGCUUAACUCAUUUGCACACAAACACAUUUGUUUCUCCACAAUAUGAAUACGCCCUGUCAUGUAGUUAUUUUCUUUUUUUCUUGUUAUUUUUACAACUCAGUGAUAAAACCACAUGCACAGCAACUGUAAUCUCCUGCAAAUGAGCUUUACAAUUUAGGAAGGGCACAAUUGAUAUUGCUAUCAGUGUAAAUUGUGACUUUUAUUUCGCCUCUCUGUUGGACUUGCCAAACUAAUGUUUCGUCAAGACAAUGUUGUUUGAUGCAUUUUGCUCCUGGCUGUCUUGGUAGACAAUUAGCAUGACAGAUGAAUUAAAGAAUACGAGGCCAUUCUCUGCGGGAGAUGGAUCCCUCCUGCCCAGAAUUUAUCAGUUUAUUGGAGUCUAUUUUCAUAUCAUACAAAGAGAAACAUAAAAACUUUAGUGUUUGGUAAUUGAAUGGUUUAAUGACAUCCCUCUCAAAGUGAGCCAAGGACAUCUCUGUUUAUUAAUUUGAACUUUGAAUGCAAACUUAAAGUGCAAUGACAAUGGACAAAGAGCCCAUUUGAAGGAUAAGGCAAUAUUUAUUUUAUUAUUGGCCAAUCCUAUUAGAAGACGAAAAACAGUGAUGAAUUUAUUUUAUUCCCUAGUUCUGCCUAUAAAGCCAAAGGCUGAGGUGGUUUAUCUCUCUGUGCCAUAGACCUGCAUUGUUGUCAGGAAUUAUUUCAAACAUGAAAAUAAGCAGCAAGGCUCAGUUUGAGUCAGAAAGAACAAGAACACAAAAUUCCCCAGCUCAAACCCAAUUUUUCUGUUUUUAUCUUUUCUUUCUUUCUUAUUUUUUCUGAUUUUGGGCCACACAAAAAGCAUGUCCGCAAAAACAAAAGUGUUUGCACCGUUAAUACUGUCACACAGGAUUGAUAUUAAAGGUCCUAUGUAGUGUUUUUUUUUUGUAACAUAAAUCAAAUAACCUGAUACACACAUCGAUACACACUAAAGCCAAGUGUCAGCUGAGCAGCUGCAGAAACAGUCCUGUUUUUACAGUUUCCACACAAAAUAUUUACAAUUAAGCUACAUUUGACUGUCGAAAGUCAGAAAAAUUAGACCUUUUUCGUCAGUAGACACUACUUUGGCACGUAGAGGACAGUAAAAGCAAAGACUGAUUUGAUAUGAACCCAAAGUUUCUCACUGCGGCUUGUCUGGCUUUUCUCAUCAGCCUGAAUAUUCUGUAAACAUAACUCAGAGUGAGUUGCAGCGUUGUAUCCGUCAUUCUUUCUUAGAUCUGUAGUUUCCUAAAGUGAGGGUCACGACCAUAGACUGUAUAUAGAAUGGAUGAUCAUCGCAACAUUCAUAAAGUGAUCUAUUUACAUAUAUUUUUAUAACAGUAAUUAUUUGUAUUUUAGCAGUGUAAAAUAUUUUCUAGAGUAGCUUGCAGCUAUAACCAGAAUUUUCUGAACGUACUUCUUUGGCUUUCAUUAUGCUUACCUUGAGCUUGGUCAUUCUAGACUCUGAUUGGUUAAUUCUGUGACAUGAGACGGAAUUAAAAGGAAGAGCGGUUGUUGCUUGCAUGCUUGCAAAUGUGGCUGCAGUAGAGGUGCAUCUGAGAAAUUAUUCUGCUAUUUCUCACUAUUAGAGUCAUCCAACCACCACACAAGGGUUUAUCAUGGUUUUCUUUGAUGUGUUGGCACGAUUUUAUAUUUAGAAACAUCAUAUUGUACUUUUUUAUGGGUUUCCAGCAAUUCAUUACUAACAGACACUAUAUUUGACGGUGUUUUAACCUGACUGACACCUCUUUACCCUCUCGUCUACUCCGCUCACUAUCCGCUCUUUGAUUAAAAUCAGGAUUUAAAGCGAGUGUCACAUUUAUUUGCUCUCUCUCUGACUGUGACUGAUUGUGUCAGAUUAAUCUAAAUAAAGCCUGCGAUGUCACGUGGUCACCAUAAAGAUGACAGACCGCCUCUUGUUGUGAAACUGUCCUCUCUCCUCAUCUUUCUGUCAUUAUGUGGACAGCAGGUCAACCGUGAGCUUUGACUGAGACGACAGAUUCUGUUAGUCAGGGCUCCUGCUGGCCCUUGCAUUAACCAAGCUUCAUUGGGUUUAUUGGGGCUGGGUCAUCAUGUGACUGAGUAGAUGACAUAGUAAAUCCUGUAGCUAGAGGUUACAGAGAACGGCAGAUAUAUAACAAAAGCCCUCAUAAUCAUCCUAGAUAAUUGGGUAGUUUAAAAUAAGACCCCAUAACCAAUCAGAGACAAGAACCAAUUUUUAAAGGUGUAAACACACAGGUCAUGACCACAUCUAAUCACUAAAUCUAUGCAGCCUGGCAGAUUUUAUUUGUGCAUUCACCUGAGGAUAAGACAAAGUUUAUUGGCUCCUCUGGUGACCCCCUCGUCCUUGUGAAUCUCAGCGGGACUGUAAGUGUCUUGAUAGAAGGUUACCUUUCAGUAUAAAACACCCAGCUCCUGCAACAACAACUUUAUAGAACACCUGUGGGAGCGGGACUUUAUGGGCUCAUCGGCUGCAUGAUUUUACAUUUUGCAGUUAGCAAAGCGACAUAUGCUGCAGGUAACAAACACUGAGUCCUCCAGGCUCCUGCAUGCAGAUGGCGAUGGUCCAGAAUCAGUCAUGUUGUUUUGUGCCUGAAAUUCAAAACCUUUAUGAUUCUGCAGAGACAACACAGCUAAGCAUUUAAAGAGGGAAUAUGCAUUAUAUCACUCUGAACCAAGGGGUGAAUUCUCAAGGAGAAUAUUUGAUGAUUUCACAUAAAUAUGCAUACAUUUAACCAUAAUCAAUGUCAAAACGAUGAGUCAACAAGAGUCACUCAAAGUGUUAAUACUCAAUUAGCACCCUAUUUUAAGAGCUUUGAAUAACUAUGCCCAUUUGCAUGCAUUUUGCAUAGCCAAGCUGGCAGAGGCUGACUUGAGAGAGCGGUGGUUAUAUAUCUUCUUGCAGCAGAGCACGUUGAUCCUUUUGGGGGCUGUUGAAAUUCUGCAGAAGCCCAGUUUUCAUUUUCAUGGCUGCAUUUACAUGCUGUCCUACUGUCUGCCCCUUUGAGUUAUAUCAGGGGGCUUUAUCACCUGAAAUAAAGCAGAGAUAAAUGUUGCUGAGAAAGUGUAAAACACAGCCACCCCCCCAGCCCACCUCAGCAGUAUCUGUGUGUGUUGCGCACGCACAUCAGCGGGUAUGUGUACAUCUCUCUGUGUGUGGAUGUGCGUGUGUGUUAUUUAAUGCUCUAAAUCUUGUGUGUAAACUAUGAGCAUUCUGCAGACUCGGCUUCUAACGCCUUUUCUUGCGGUUCUGCUGAGGAUGCACUUUCUGCUCAGGGCUGCAAGAGGUCACCGUCUGACAUAGUGCAAACACACAUAUGUGCACACUCAUGCACACGCAUAGAUAUAAACCCACUUUGUACCCUCCCUGACAUUUGAUGCACAUAUGGAUCCUGCUGUCACUUAAAAGGAAGUCCACUUCCCUAGUGACAUUUACCUGGGGCUACCAGGAAUCAUUAGUUAAGGUCAGUUUUAUAACUUCUGCAUGGGGAGGCGAUGAGUAACAGAGCUGAUUCUAUCUAAAACACUCCGACAGGCAGUAUGGCAAAGACAACAUAGACAUGUGGGUGGAGUUUUUGAGUAAAAAUACCCUCUAAAACAGAUCCAGCACACGUUGUUGCAUAUUGUGUGUAAAAUUUCCCCAGAAAUACUGCUCAUGCUUCAACAGAACAAUGCCUACAGAGAAAUUUGAAACCCAUUUCUCUCUGUAUUUCCUCUGUUGAGGCUCAAUUCUGUUUGCUUGCAACUAUGGUGCCUCUGUUAUCUUGUUUGUACUUAAGCUGUUUUCCCAGACUUGAGCUCCUUUAUUUGGGGAUGUUUUGGUGAACUUUUGAGCCCUCCUGAGUGGCUGACUCCACUCCCUCUGAAAACACAACUCUAGGGAAUAAAUCAAAGAGCUGUGCUGGGAAAUAUGCAGUAAAUACAAACACAAUUGUGUAUGUGUUGGUGUCUAUAAGUUUGUAGCUGAGAGGAGAUGAGUAUCAGUGGUGGGAUUUAAAAGAGAGUCAUGCACAGAGGCCAUUGCUGAAUAAUUAUUUUCCAGACUCACUCUUUAUAUUCCUUAUAGAAAUGAAAAAAACUUGUAAUAGUCACUCUUGCAUUCUGUGCACAACCUGAUAUCACACACUAUAUCCACUUACAGAGGAGCAUUCACUAACUUGGGACUAAGUUUACUAUGUGCAUAGUAAUAAGGAAGAACGUGGACAAAAGGAAAUCCAACCUUUACAGCUCAUAGAUGCUAAUAAAUUUAUAUUAAGUAACCUCAAUAGCUGGCUCAGAAUCAGUUGACAGCAACGGACAGAAAUAUUCUGAUCAGGUACCACUGGCGUAAGUUAUUUCUUUCACUCACUGCACCUUUCUCACUGAUCCAUGUCUGAAAUGACCAGGCCGGAGUGUCUGUGCAGACUGAGAAGAGGUUAACUGAGCACUGCAGAGGAUCACCAGUCCCUUCAACACAUACCAUAUACCACAUGGCACAAAAACUGAAUUAAAUACAACAUCACAUGAAUACAGUUUAGCCAUAUAUGUGUUUGUGUGUGUGUGUGCAUUUGGGAGGAGUUAAUACAGGAAAAAAUACUCCACAAUAAAUACUCUUUAUUAGACUAAAACUUGCUUUUCGCUGAUAAAAACACACCAGAGUGUAACAGAGUGAGGGAGCACAAUGCAUUGUUUCUACGCUCUGCAGGGCCAAGCUCAUUGGGAUCCUUUGCCAAGCCACACAGGACAAGAGUGGACCAGGCUGGAAUGGCUUCCCUUAUCGUGACUCGCUGUGACACCACAUGCGUCAGCUUGGGAGGCAGGGAGGGACACAGGCAGGUAGGACACCAGCUUUUCAAGCCCCAGGCCUCUUCUUCCUCCUCUUCUCCUGUGCUCAGCACUUCCCGAGGCUAGCUUGUGGAAGCAAACUUUGCUCCAGUCCAACUUAAAAGAGUUUUCCUUUCAGUCAGCACAAUUCUCUGUUUGUGUUGGAUCUGAAAUAGCCUUUCAGUUGAUACAUGGACACGAACAUAGAGUCUAGAGUGGACAUUUGUGAUUACUGUUUGCUAAAACAUGUACAAAGAUACUAGAUGUGUUCAAGAAAAUGGAACUGCAUUCCCAAUUGGCUUAAAAAAAAUCAAUAAUUGAAAUACAGAGAAUCCUGCUCCUCACGUAGAAUGAGAGGGAAAAGCGGGAGUAAAUGCAAAAGGAGGUGAUGGACAGGUUGAUUGAAGAACUAAAGGGAUAUCUGAGUGUGUACCUGCCUGCUGUGCCUGGAAUAAAAUACUGUUCAAACUAGUGUAUUUAAAUAAUUUAAUAAUAACUGGGUUUGCUAAUUAAGGUGAAAAAUCCAAAACACUUAGGUUAAUUAUCAAACUCCUCAUUGAAGUGAGAAUAAUUGUAAAAAUGUAGCCUCUGGAGCAGCUUAGUAGUGUCAGGGAACACUGUGAUAGCUUUAAAUUCACCACAUUUAUUGUUAUGCAUCAAAAUUCCGCUAGCAAGUGAUGCAAUGAAACUUGAUGAGGGUUGGAUGAGGAUAUAGAAUAAAUAAUAUAGCACAAUAUAAACUAACUAACCUGCAAAUAUACUCUGAGGUCCCUCAAGCGAUGCUUACUAUGUGACAGUUUUUGCUUUCAUGUCCAUCAAAUCUGUUUAUUCAAAGUCUAAAAAUGAAAUGUAGCCCAUUAAAAAAAUGGAAACUGAAAUAAAACAAGACAAAGCGCGCUCAGGCAUUUGACUGAUGGCCCGUUUGUGCAGUCUGUGUUUAUUCGCCCAGUAGAGCAGGUGUAUCAACUGGACAGAUGUUAGCUGUAAGCUAGCUAGCAACAGAUUUACUUACCAUGUGUGCACUUAUCCUGCCUGUGUUCAAAUCAGCCUCAAGCUAAACUCAGCACUCACCAGCACACCAGUUCCCUCUGCUAUUUCCCGUCUGUCUCCUUCUCUCUCUUGUCUCAGUGUUUUUAUGAGCAGAUUCAAAAUGCUCUUUGAGCAAAGUGAGAUAUUUGAAUACUUUUGAUACAAGUAAAGGGUAAUCCAGAGUAAAUCUCACUCAUAUUUGAUCUGCAAGGCCUCGGGUAAUAGUGAGUUAUUGCUUUUGUAAAGCAACAGCACUGAUAAUUUUCCGGGUUUUGGCUAUGCUCAUGUAAAAAUUGGUGCCAAUGCCAUUAUAUGUGUACAGCUGUAUCUUAUAUGUCCCUAUACAUUUGUUCUAUCAACGCAAGCUGUUUCUCUUCAGUGUAUUAGCAUCCUGGUAUAAAUGAUGAAAAUGUGUUGGUGCCACCAUAAAGCUGUUUCCCAGUGUGUCUCUAUUUGCAAUCUCAUAUAGUCAAGAAUGUUCUCCAUCCUCAGACACUAACUUCAAUUUAAAAACCCCAAAAUAUUUUUUAAUUGACUAAAACUGGCAAAUGCAACAACCUUAAAUGAAUCAAUUAAACAAGACUUGCUUGCUAGUACUCAGUCAAGACCAAAGCUGGUUUUGCUCAAGUGUCAGCUUCCAGGACAAAGGAGGCCACUUUGAACGUGUUAAAAGCUUCAGGUUCUUUGAGUUCCUACUUCAGGCUUGCUCCAAAAGCACCAGAUACCACAUACAAACCCAUUUAAAAAAAGCCAAUCUUUACAUCAAAAGUGAACAUCUUUGCAUCUAAAAAAAACCUGUCCUUCGAUCACCCUCCUUAAAGCUCGGGUCCUCUACCAGAUGCCUGGUAACCUGAUGAUUCUGCGCAGGAUUUCAGCUGUUCCUAGGAGUGCACACUUCUGGACACGUAUUUCAGAUGUCGUUUCUGGUAUCUGCUUGAGCCAUCCACCCAGCUUGGGUGUUACACCAAACAUCUUCUCUAGCUCUUCCUUCAGCCCUUGGUAUUUCUCAAGCUUCUCCUAUUCCUUCUUGCUGAUGUUGCUUUUGCUCUGUAUUGCUACAUCUAUCACUACCGCUGUCGUCUGAUGUUGAUUAGCUAUCACCAUCUUGUCAGUCUGAAUCUGGAAAUAUACAUAUAUAAGUAAUCGGUUUUGUCUUUUUCUGCAUCUGUCAACUUUACUCAACAACAUUAAUGCUAAUCAUCAUGCUAUAUACUCUCUAAAAGCAAAGAGAAAUCUGCUUCUUAAACACGUAUGAACCAAAGAGACCAUGGCGAUGAACUUUGAAAAAACAAGCUGAUUCUCUUUGCUAUUGAGCCAAAUAAAAUGAAACAAUUGGGAGGUUAUUGUGAGGACACUGGCGAAUUCACAACAUUUCAUGUUUUUCUUAACGUUUUAUGUCGUCUGUUUUGUUCAGAUAUCCCUGCAAGAAGUUUGUCCAGGGGAGUUCUCAUAUUUUAUUCACAACAAGACAACAUUGGCUAUUCUUAUUUCUUUUUUUUUUUUCAUUUGUUUUCACAGGAAGAAGUAAGAAAUAAAUAUGUGGAAAACAAAAUAUCUUGAGAAUUGAUGUGUCUGCAUGGAUUCAUCAAGUUUGUCAAACUUACCGAAGCUCUCCGUGGUGGUAGUUUCCUUGGUUUCCUUGCUGAGCUAAAAUGUCACUCAAAUAAAUUAAUUGUCUGAAAUCUUUAUGCAGAGACAAAGAGAAAGGGAGAUGUGGAUGAGUUUCAGGGACAGUAAUUGAAUCCCAGAGUUAUUGAUUUAGCCAGAGUAUCACCAGGGGAGACCUAAGGCCAUGACAAAGUUGUCUGUAAAACUCUGAUUAGCAUUUGCUGUACAAAUAAAUAACAGGCUCACCGUUGUCAUGUUUCUCUGCGGUUUUAUUCCUGCUCUCCUCUCUCUUUUCCUCUCUGUCCCUCCUCCAGACUCCUUCCAACCAACAUAAUCUACAGUAAGUACUACUCCAUUUCCUCUUUCUUGUCUGAUCCACCACCUCCCACCUCACGUUUUCCUCUCUGCCCUUUAUCUUGCUGCCCUCAGCCGAAGCCAAAACCCCACAGAACCUCUCUGCUCUCCCACCCUGUGUGUCUUAUUCCCUCAGUACUUCAGGGGAGAAAUAUAUGCUUGUGAGGGUGCACACUUCUUCCAGCAGCAGUAAAGUCAUGUUUCUCUCCCUGGGCCUGAAGCCAAAGGCCAGCGUUGGUGUUUUACUACGAAACUCCGCGGAGGCACAGGGCUGAACUGCAGCGAUGGCACUUUCCCACCUCAGUCCCUGGCCUCCCCUCCACUCCCCUGCAGCCCCUCAGCCCCUGGGGAUCGCUGAAGAUAAGGAUUGAACAUCUCCGGAUGCCACUUUGCAUAAAUGUUUAAUAGCAGGGAAAACAUUAGCAUCAGUAAUUAAAGCAGUAAUUUAAGCCUAGACGCCAUCAACAGGCGAGCUACUUCCACGCUGGAAUAACACAAGUGAAACACAGUAAUUAGCUUUGCUUUGAUUGGACGGGAGACUGAGUUCAGAAAAUGUGUGCUUGUGUGUGUGUGUAUGUGUGUACUUUGGCACUUCUGCAUGCACAUUAAAAGAGGACGUACUUUUCGUGUGUGCAGGAGGAAAGCUCAUGCUUGCACGAUUCUCAAUCGGACCCCCGUAGCUGUACUAAAGAUUGAUUGGCUGUGAAUGUGUGUACAAACCCAGGGCAUCCGUGUGUGUCAAAUGGCAUUUGACAUUGGUUUGGACAGUGUUUAACUCUGGCCCGAGGAGGUCAAAUAUUGUCUAGCACUUCCCUAAGGAAGCUGAUGUUGUCCUAUGUCAUCAUCUGUGCCCUGUGAGCCUCUGCCUUCCUCUAAUUCCCCCUAAACUCCAGACUCUAACCUUUCUUUCUAUCUAUUUGGCACCUUUGGGACAGAACCCUGCAUUCUUUUUCAUUAAAGUGCUAUGAUAGCAAUAUGGCUGAAAGGGGGGAUGAUAUGUUUUGCUUUUUCCACUGGCAUCAAAAAUCGUUAGGAGAGCAAGGAGGUCAGCCUGGCUUGUAUCUAGCUUUUAAUGGGUCCUUAAAGUGAGGCCCCAGGGAUGGGUCUAUACACAUACAUCCCCCCACUCACUCAUAAACACACACUCACACACGGACUCACAAAAUGCCGGGUGUCUGAAGCCAAGCCAAGACCUUGCUCUCAUUCUCCCUCUCUCUUUAUUUCACUCUUUUUUAGCUCAUUCUCUCCGCUGGCUCGCAAUUCUCGCCAAAUAGCGUCAGCCUUUGAUGUAUUGAAAACGACUAUUGCUGGAGCAUCAGUGCUGUUUUAUGAUUCUCACUCAUCCUUGGCUCCGGUGGAAUCUGCGCUCAUGAUUGUUUCUUUAUCUUUUCAAUUCAAUCUUUUUCAUGUCAUUCCAAAGCACACCUUUUGUCAAAGUGUAUUCCUAUCACGCUGCUGUCAGGUACUCUUUUUUUUUCUUCUUUUUUUGUGUCAACACUGUUAAACUCAUGACCCUUGACCUUGCUUAAAAAAAAGCACUUUUUACUUGUUGUGGCACCCUGCGGCUCCCUCUCAGCAUGCUGAUAGAGUUUCUGAGCAUUUUAAUUAACCGUAUUGAGUUUGCAUCAGCAGCGGGGUGUUAUAUGGUCAACUGGAAACUCACACACCCACACAACACACGCACACGCUGGCAGACACACAUUCCCGUGCUGCCGUGCACACUCCUAUCCAUCCCAGCUGACAGCUUGUUAAUUGCCAGGGGGUUAACUGGAAGUGGUGGUGUAAUUGCAUCAGAGUUUUAAUUUACCCUGGCCCCUUAUUUAUUUACCUAGCCGUAGAUUUUAAAGCAGCAUUAAUCGUCUGGGUGCGUCAGGACAAAGUGAGGAUCGACAGGCUGGAUGUCAGUCCGGAGUCAGAUGAGGUAACUUGUAGAGCUGGGGGAAUUCAUCUGUACUACGGUGAAAUCAACUGGGGCGCUUUACACUCCUAAAGCAGAAUAUGUAAAAAAAGAAGAUAUUAAUUGAGACACUGUGAUGUUCCUUAAAGCUCCGGGGUAUUUCCUCCACAACUGCUACAGUGUUUUAUAAUCUACAGCAGUGAUGAAUGACUAACCUCUGCAUAGCUGUCUUAUUAUCAACGCUCUGUGCAGCUCAGCUAUGCUAAAAAAUACAGAAUAUUUUGGCUUAUGAGGCCUUGAUGCUUGAAUGCGUGGCAUUUCAUGACUGCAUUGACUUCCUUUUUCCUCGUCGAUUUUUUUCCCCACUUCUGACCUCGGAGAAACAGCAAAGCAAGACGGCCUUGGUAAUCAAAUUUAUUUGACAGGGAGGCAACUUAAAAGCUCUGCUGCCGACUAGCCUUUAGUUCAAGGCUUUGAGGAGGGUGAGGGGGAGAUACUCCAAUACCUAUGAAGUACACUUUAGAAAAAUGUCAUCUUCUUGAUCUAUCUGACCACAGUGGCUUUGAAAAGUGACUAUUAAUUGGAAAUUAUGAAAUCUGUUUGAGUCAGGGUCUUAUUCAAGAUGAAAGGGUUCUUGGUAUCUAUAUGUUGGUGUGUUCAUCUCUGUGUGUGCUAGAUUGUGCGUCAGGAUAACUGUGUGAGGAAUGUCAGGGAAUAGGGUAAAUUCCCAGAAGCAAUCCAGAUCUGCAGCUUGAUGCUUCCUGCCUUUGUUCAACCGAGCCUCUAUACCAUACCCGGACACAUCCACACACACUCACUCACUCACUCACUCACUCACUCUCUCCUAUGAGCCCAUCCAUCCAUCUCCUUGACAUGAUUGUUCCUAUCUUGUUACUUUAUGUUCUAAUCCAUCAGCUAUGAGUAAAACAGCAAUUACACAGAGCCAUCGAUGCAGCCAGCAGACAGAGUCAGAAUUAUGGCAUGGUGCAUUACUGCAAAUUGCUAUUAAAGUCCCUUUUUUUCCACCAGAGCAUGGGGAGCAAGUGGAGAGUAAUGGACAUUCAUAACAAGGCACAUCAUUAGAAUUAGGCAUCUCACUGUUUUAAUUGCAGCUUCCAAAUUUUUCCACACAUGCGCGUGGAUCCUGCAGAGUCUGAGUUGUGGUUUCUUUUUUUCUGCCCUCUUUGCUCCUAAAGUCAAAGCUCUCACUUUGUCGUAACCGGCUGUGCUGCCUCUGCCUGCUUUUAUCUCCACUUUCUCAUUUUCUCCUUAUCUGUUUUACCACGUAAUGUUCCCGCGAAGUUGUUUACAGUCAUCUAACCGCGGCUAGGAUGUUUGUUUUCGCCUAAUUCAUGCUAUAAAGUGAAAGUGAGACAUGAAAUACAACUUUUCCUUUUGAAAUAUCAGAGUGAUGUAUAACACUCUGCACGAACAGCCCAGAAUUCAAUUACUUAAUGAGCAGCAGAAUCACCAACUAGCCUCGCAUGAGGACAGCAAAAGACAGCAUAUGUUACAAAAAGGAGAAUGAUGGAGGAUAGAUGGAGAGAAAGGUGAAGUGAUGAGCGCUGUCCUAUAAGCCUGUGCUCCAGGAGAUGGAUGGUGUGCAUGUGGGUGGAGUUGUCCUUGGUGUGGUGCUGAUUGUGUAUGAGGUGGUGCUCAGCAGGACAGAUGGUGCUAGUGGGCAGAUGAGUGAAUAAUGAUAUUUCACCACAGAGCAGUAAUUACCUGCUCCUAGCCCCGCAUGGCCCAAUGUAUGCACUGUAUGGAUGCUUGCACACACACACACACACACACACACACACACACACACACACACACACACACACACACACACACACACACACACACACACACACACACACGAACAGAGUCAUGCAUGCCCUCAUGAAUCUCCACAUACAAUGCGUGCAUGUCUGCAUGCUCAUAAACACUAACAUAUACAAUGCUGAUAACGCAGCUGUUCUAGUCCCAUGACUGAUAGAGAGACAGAUCUGAUGCAACACUGAGAUGUGCUCGGUGAUGAGAAAUGUGCGAGUGAUUUAAGCACACAUCAGGAGAAAUCUAUGCAGGUACACAGGGAGUCACCUCUCUGAAAUACAAGUUACAGGGAUUUUACAGCACAAGCUAUGACAGGGUUCUUAAAUCCCAUGUUUUUUAUCUCUGCUUUCAUGUUUACUGCUCUUGGGGCUCUGUGAUAUUGGCAGAACAGACAGACAGAAAACAACACAACCUGAGUUUGUCUCUUUAUGUGUUUUGCAAUAACACGACCUCAAUGGUGUAAUUUCUUGGUCUAAUUUAGCCAAAGGUGACUUGGCCUCAAAUCAGUAUCAUGAUCAGCUGAACAAUUUACCUCCAAAACAAUAAAUAAACCACUAUUGUCCUUUUUUAUGUUAAGGUUUUUAUUUUGAGUAAACUAGGGUAUUCUUUCUAAUGAGGGAGUGCUGGACACACUUCUGUUAAUUCAUCAAUCAUUAUUUAUCAACAUGAUUUUUAUUAACCUUACACAUAGAUGUUAUUUGAAAAGCAGUUAUUAAAACCCUUCAGUUGUCUUUAGUGUAGUUGUUUUUGUGUUAAUGUUGAUGAGAUUACUGUAGACUGUGCUGAACUGGGGACUGAUGUGAAAGACUGGACUUUAUGGGCCAGCUCUUGAACAUGACAGUACUAUGAAAAGCCAUUUCACUUGAACAAUACCGUUCAGGAAUAACAGUUCCUGGAUCCAUUGUCCAUUGUUGUCAUGGAACAUAGGUGUCAUCCAGUUGCAGGCCCAGGGUGGCUAAUCAGGAGAACUGGGACAGUUCCCGAUAGGCCGGGCUGGUUACAGGGCUGGUUUACAGUGAUAGCAGAUAUAUCACAAGAGUUGCACUUGAUAGGUUUACUUUUAAGAGUUAUACUGAACAAAGUUAAUGCUAAGUUUCCUUGGCUUGUACUAAGAAUUUUGCUGAAUAUAUUUAACAUAUACUUAAACUUUUGAUCAAGGGUAGUGACUCGGGCGCCCUGAGAGUGGCAGCAAGUCACAGCAGCUCCUCAACGACUUCACGUUUUUGCGUUCUUAUUGUUGUUUUUUUGCACCUUUUUAUCUUUCUCUUCAUUCAGCAGUGUCGUGUCUGCAUAUUCCAGCCAUGGAUGUGCAGUUCAUGACUCUAGCACUUUGUUUUCUUUUAUUUUUCGGAGUUUUUAAGUCCGCGACCGGCGACCCAUUUAGCGGCCGCAUUGUUUACAGCCGUGAACAGCUGUUGGCGCUGCGCCAAGCCCGGCCACCUUCGUGGGAGAGACCGGACAUCCCCGCUAAGCUCCGCAGGAGAAGGAGAGGAUGCAGGGCUGGAGUUCAGCAUCGGGCAAAGCGGAGGCAUUACAAACCAACUGUCCCGUCCAUCAUCAUGGGAAACGUGAGGUCUCUCCCCAACAAGAUGGAAGAGCUCACAGCGCUAACUCGGCUGCAGUGGGAGUAUAGGGAAUGUAGCCUCAUGAUGUUCACGGAGUCAUGGCUGAACGAACUCACUCCGGACCCGCUCGUAACUUUGGACGGAUUUCACCUCGUCAGAGCGGACCGGAGCGUGAGGGAGAGUGGUAAGAAGAAAGGAGGCGGGAUAGCGGUGUAUGUGAAUGAGAGAUGGUGUAAUGCUGGGCACGUCAGUGUUAAAGAGCAGCUCUGCUCUAAGGACAUUGAGCUGCUGGCUGUGAGUUUGCGGCCUUAUUACCUGCCGAGGGAAUUUUCGCACGUCAUCGCGUUAACUGUUUACAUCCCCCCUCGGCUGAGGCUGCUGCAGCCUGUGAACUCCUCCAUAAUGAAGUGUCCAAGCUACAGACAUCACACCCUCAGUCUCUGAUCAUCAUCUCUGGAGACUUUAAUCAUGCAUCGCUGUCCUCCACUCUCCCUACCUUCAGCCAGUAUGUAAACUGCCCAACAAGAGACAAUAAAACUCUGGACUUACUGUAUGCAAACACCAAGGAUGCAUACACCUCCUCCCCGCUUCCCCCGCUGGGCCGCUCAGAUCACAACCUGGUGAGACUGCAGCCCAUUUACAUACCUAUGGUGAAGAAACAACCCCCCACCAUCAGGUAUGUUAAGAGGUGGUCUGAGGAGGCCACUGAGGCGCUGCAGGACUGUUUUGAGACCACAGACUGGGAUGUACUGUGCGGCCCACAUGGUGAUGACAUCGACACCAUGACUGACUGCAUCACGGACUAUAUUAACUUCUGUGUUGAGAACACCGUACCCACCAGGAAAGUACGGUGUUUCUCCAACAGCAAACCCUGGGUGACCCCGGAACUGAAAGUCCUCCUGAAGGAGAAGAGGAGGGUCUUUAAAUCUGGGGACAAGGAGGAGCUGAGGAGGGUGCAGAAGGAGUUGAAGAAGAAGAUCAGAGAGGGAAAGGCCAGCUACAAGACCAAGAUGGAAAACCUUUUGCAACAGAACAACGCAAGGGAGGUCUGGAGAGGCCUAAAAUCCAUCUCAGGUCAUAGCAGGGGCCAUGAGAGGGGAUCUGAAGCAGGAGACAGGGAGUGGGCCAACGAGCUGAAUCUGUUCUUCAAUAGAUUUGACUCUACUCCCACUCCUCCCCCGACUCAUCUAACCAACGACCCGUCUGCUGCUCCUCCUUCUUCUUAUUCUUAUUCACACCACCUCAGUCCCAUGGCACCGACACCAUCAACCCCCCUCCACUCAUCCUCCACCACCCCCUCCAGCACCACCCCCAGCCUCUCCAUAACAGCUGACCAGGUGAGAAGUGAGCUGAGGAAGAUGAAGCCAAGGAAAGCCACGGGUCCUGACGGCAUCAGCCCCAGACUCCUGAAAGACUGUGCAGACCAGCUCUGUGAGGUGCUACUGCACAUCUUCAGCUUGAGCCUGAGUCUGGAGAGGGUCCCAACACUGUGGAAGACUUCCUGCGUGAUUCCUGUCCCCAAGACAGCGCACCCUAGGGAGCCCAACCACUUCAGACCUGUGGCCCUCACUUCUCACCUGAUGAAGACUCUGGAGAGGAUCGUGCUGAGGAACCUCCGCCCCCUGGUGAGCUCUCAUCUGGAUCCUCUGCAGUUUGCGUACCAGCCGAACAUCGGGGUGGAUGACGCAGUCAUCUACCUGCUGCAGAGGUCCAUGGCUCACCUGGAGAACACUGGCAGCACUGUGAGGGUCAUGUUUUUUGACUUCUCCAGUGCGUUCAACACCAUCCAGCCUUCACUGCUCAGGGGGAAGCUCGAGCGGGCGGGAGUGGACUGUCACCUAGCCGCAUGGACCGUGGACUACCUCACCGACAGACCACAGUUUGUGAGGCUUCAGAACUGUGUAUCGGACAUGGUGGUCUGCAGCACGGGGGCUCCACAGGGGACAGUGCUCUCCCCCUUCCUCUUCACCCUGUACACCUCAGACUUCAGCUACAACUCUGGGAGCUGUCACCUCCAGAAGUUCUCUGAUGACACAGCCAUCGUCGGAUGUGUAUCGUCAGGGGACGAGCGGGAAUACAGGACUGUCAUCACUGACUUUGUCAACUGGUGUGGCACAAACCACCUCCAGCUCAACGCCAGUAAGACAAAGGAGAUGGUUGUGGAUUUCCGCAGGAGGGGGACACCUCAAACAGUUCCAGUGAACAUACAGGGUCUGGACAUCGAGAUGGUGGAGUCCUACAGAUUCCUGGGUGUCCACCUCAACAACAAACUGGACUGGUCAACAAACACAGACGUUCUGUACAAGAAGGGCCAAAGUCGUCUCCACCUGCUAAGGAGACUGAGGUCCUUUGGAGUGUGCAGGACUCUGCUCAGGACUUUCUAUGACUCUGUGGUAGCAUCUGCACUUUUCUAUGCAGUGGUCUGCUGGGGGGCAGGGAGCACCGAGAGGGACAGGAAGAGACUGAAUAGACUGGUCAGGAGGGCCGGUUCUGUCCUGGACUGCUCUUUGGACUCCCUGGAGGAGGUGGGUGAGAGGAGGAUGUUAACAAAGCUUAUAUCCAUCAUGGACAAUCCCUCUCACCCACUGCACCAGACUGUGGGGGCUUUAGGCAGCUCCUUCAGCAGCAGACUGAGACUCCCACCCUGCAGGACGGAGCGCUACCGCAGAUCAUUCCUCCCCUCUGCAAUAAGACUUUACAAUGAACAGUAACAAAACUGGAUUUACACCACCACUUUUUUUAUGGCAUUUAAAUUGUGUAUAUUGCAGAAAGCUUUAUUUUUUCUUCUCCCUUUUCUCUUUUCAAUUUUUUUUUUUUCUUAAUUAUUACAUUUAUUAAGUUCUUAAUAUUAGGACCCUUAUUGUUAUAACUGCAUUUUGCACUUUCUGUCUUGUCUGUGAUGCUGCUGUGACAAAAAAAUUUCCCCCAUGGGGGAUCAAUAAAGGAAAAGGAAUAUUCUAUUCUAUUCUAUUCUAAGAUGUACUUAAAUAUGUAUUUAUGCCUUAGGUUUAAGUAUUCUUGGUCAGUGAAUACUUCUAUAUAUCUUUUUAAGAGUAAUCUCUUUAAAGGUAUACUCUUAAAAAGAUAAGCAGUACAAGCCAAGUAUACAAAUAUGUACCUCUAUUGAAAUAAUAAUAUAUCAAAAAGUAUGCUUCAGAGUGGGUAUACAGAUAGGUUAAGGUGCAUCCCAUGUUGGGGACCAUGGUCCCUGCAGUACUUUAGGUAUACGUAUACUUAUCACACAUUAUCUCACAAGUUUGAAUUCUUAUUGACUAAAAAUAACUUAACGUGGAAUACUGGUAAUACCGGUAUACAUAUGUUUCUUAUAUCUCAUUAUACACCUGUGUGUUUACGCGUGUAGAAUUGUUAAUGUGGCUGUUAAUAUAAGACACUAUGGAUAACAAGGUUGCAGAUGAUGCUUCAUCAUGGACCUUAAAACCACUAACGCUAAAAUAAUAUAUCUUGAGUAAAGGCUGUGAACUUAAGUGGGCUGGUUCGAGACAAAAAAAAAAAAAAAAAAAAACUCUGCUGAAAGUGCAGAAAAGUCUGACCAUUGUUUACUUGGAAAAAAUUAAGGCAACAAAUGACACUUUAUAUGAUUGAAUAGAUUUUAACCCUUUGAUGCGCAACAUGGGUCAAAAAAGACCCGGCUGAGUUUAAAUUUUAUAUAUCUUCUCAAAAAAUUAAUUCCAUCAGUCGGUACUCAAGGAAUUCCUCAAUUAACUUGUUUU